UACGGAGGGUGCAAGCGUUAUCCGGAUUCACUGGGUUUAAAGGGUGCGUAGGUGGGCAGGUAAGUCAGUGGUGAAAUCUCCGGGCUUAACCCGGAAACUGCCGUUGAUACUAUCUGUCUUGAAUGUAGUGGAGGUGAGCGGAAUAUGUCAUGUAGCGGUGAAAUGCUUAGAUAUGACACAGAACACCGAUUGCGAAGGCAGCUCUCAAAACUGUAACUGACGCUGAGGCACGAAAGCGUGGGUAUCAAACAGG
rnacentral:rRNA from 1 species